rnacentral:rRNA from 1 species
UACGGAGGAUGCGAGCGUUAUCCGGAUUUAUUGGGUUUAAAGGGUGCGUAGGCGGGCUUUUAAGUCAGCGGUAAAAGCCCGGGGCUCAACCCCGUACUGCCGUUGAAACUGCAUCCCUUGAGUGCGCGAGAAGUAUGCGGAAUGCGCGGUGUAGCGGUGAAAUGCAUAGAUAUCGCGCAGAACUCCGAUUGCGAAGGCAGCAUGCCGGCUCCACACUGACGCUGAGGCACGAAAGCGUGGGUAUCGAACAGG